GGGGGGGGGGGGGGGGGGGGGGGGGGGGGGGGGGGGUGGGGGGGGGGGGUGCGUGGGCGGCCGAGCCGGGGGGGGCGGGGGGGGGACGCGGGAGGGACUUGCGCGGCAGGCGGGGGUAACAGAGGGAAAGGCCUGAUAAGACCGGGUACAGUGAGGGGGGCUCAUGUCGAGCCUGGUGCAAAGAGAUGCGGCAGGAGAGCCGUGGGUCCCAUUAGCUUGGUGGUGGGGUAACGGCCCACCAAGGCGAUGAGAGGUAGCCGGCCUGAGAUGGUGGACGGCCACAAGGGGACUGAGAUACGGCCAUUACUCCUACGGGAGGCGGCAGUGGGGAAUAUUGGACAAUGGGGGCAACCCUGAUCCAGCAAUUCUGUGUGCACGAUGAAGGUUUUAGGAUUGUAAAGUGCUUUCAGGAGGGAAGAAAAAAAUGACGGUACCUGCAGAAGAAGCGACGGCUAAAUACGUG
rnacentral:rRNA from 1 species